CUCCUGCAAAUAAUAACUUGGGAAACUGGUAGGUGCUACCGCCCAUGACUUGGGCCCACACGAGGGAGUGACACACCCAAGGACUGGCAGACCAUGAGGGUUGGGGAUUCUCCACUGAGGACACCACCUCCAGAGAGACAAAGUCCCUCAUUCCAGGAUCUCGCCAUGGAAUUGAGGAAACAGACACGCACACAACCACCACACAAUGUGGCAAGCAUCACAAAGACAAGGAGGGCAUCUGAGCAGAGGGGACAUUUACGCUGGGUCUUGACGGAUGUAUAGAAGUCCUCCAGAAAAGCAAAAUGGAUGAAGACAGUGCAGGAAGAGGGGAGACUGUGCACAAGUCAUACAGAAGGGGGAGGGCACGGCAGCACAGUGCAGGGGACAAGCUAGGAGCCUCCAACACAGAUCUGGGUUCCAAGUCCAGUUUUUCCACGUACUGCGCCAUUUCAAGCAAGUGACUUUCGACUCUCCAAGGAAACCAUCAGAUUCCUCAUC